CCUACGGGAGGCAGCAGUGAGGAAUAUUGGUCAAUGGCCGUAAGGCUGAACCAGCCAAGUCGCGUGAAGGACGAAGGAUCUAUGGUUUGUAAACCUCUUUUAUAGGGGAAGAGUAGAAGACGGUACCUGACGAAUAAGCCUCGGCUAACUACGUGCCAGCAGCCGCUGGAAUACGUAGGCGGCAAGCGUUGACCGGAUUUACUGGGUGUAAAGGGCGUGUAGCCGGGUUGACAAGUCAGAUGUGAAAUCCUGCGGCUUAACAGCAGAACUGCAUUUGAAACUGUUGAUCUUGAGUACUGGAGAGGCAGACGGAAUUCGUGGUGUAGCGGUGAAAUGCGUAGAUAUUAGGAGGAACUCCAGUGGCGAAGGCAGUAUGCUGGACAGCGACUGAUGGUGAGGCGCGAAAGCGUGGGGAGCGAACAGGAUUAGAUACCCUGGUAGUC
rnacentral:rRNA from 1 species